rnacentral:rRNA from 1 species
CCUACGGGAGGCAGCAGUGGGGAAUCUUGCGCAAUGGGCGAAAGCCUGACGCAGCCAUGCCGCGUGAAUGAUGAAGGUCUUAGGAUUGUAAAAUUCUUUCACCGGGGACGAUAAUGACGGUACCCGGAUAAGAAGCCCCGGCUAACUUCGUGCCAGCAGCCGCGGUAAU